rnacentral:rRNA from 1 species
GCAUGUGGUUUAAUUCGAUGCAACGCGAAGAACCUUACCUGGUCUUGACAUCCACGGAAGUUUUCAGAGAUGAGAAUGUGCCUUCGGGAACCGUGAGACAGGUGCUGCAUGGCUGUCGUCAGCUCGUGUUGUGAAAUGUUGGGUUAAGUCCCGCAACGAGCGCAACCCUUAUCCUUUGUUGCCAGCGAUUCGGUCGGGAACUCAAAGGAGACUGCCAGUGAUAAACUGGAGGAAGGUGGGGAUGACGUC